CAGCAGCAGCCGCGGGAAUACGGAGGGUGCAAGCGUUAAUCGGAAUUACUGGGCGUAAAGCGCACGCAGGCGGUCUGUCAAGUCAGAUGUGAAAUCCCCGGGCUUAACCUGGGAACUGCAUUUGAAACUGGCAGGCUAGAGUCUUGUAGAGGGGGGUAGAAUUCCAGGUGUAGCGGUGAAAUGCGUAGAGAUCUGGAGGAAUACCGGUGGCGAAGGCGGCCCCCUGGACAAAGACUGGCGCUCAGGUGCGAAAGCGUGGGGAGCAAACAGGAUUAGAUACCCCAGUAGUCCCUGUCUCUUAUAC
rnacentral:rRNA from 1 species